rnacentral:rRNA from 1 species
UAAGACGAACCGUGCGAACGUUGUUCGGAAUCACUGGGCUUAAAGGGCGCGUAGGCGGCCUUGCGCGUCCGGGGUGAAAGCCUCCAGCUCAACUGGAGAAGGGCCUCGGAUACGGCAAGGCUCGAGUGGGGUAGGGGCGUGUGGAACUUCCGGUGGAGCGGUGAAAUGCGUAGAUAUCGGAAGGAACGCCGGUGGCGAAAGCGGCACGCUGGACCCCUUCUGACGCUGAGGCGCGAAAGCCAGGGGAGCGAACGGGAUUAGAUACCCCGGUAGUCCUGGCCCUAAACGAUGGGCACUGGACUGUGGACUGACAUGGGUUCACAGUCGGAGCGAAAGUGUUAAGUGCCCCGCCUGGGGAGUAUGGUCGCAAGGCUG